rnacentral:rRNA from 1 species
CCAGACUCCUACGGGAGGCAGCAGUGAGGAAUAUUGGUCAAUGGACGAGAGUCUGAACCAGCCAAGUAGCGUGAAGGAUGACUGCCCUAUGGGUUGUAAACUUCUUUUAUAAAGGAAUAAAACGAGGCACGUGUGCCUUUUUGCAUGUACUUUAUGAAUAAGGAUCGGCUAACUCCGUGCCAGCAGCCGCGGUAAUACGGAGGAUCCGAGCGUUAUCCGGAUUUAUUGGGUUUAAAGGGUGCGCAGGCGGUCUGUUAAGUCAGCGGUCAAAGCCCGGGGCUCACCCCCGGUCCGCCGUUGAAACUGGCAGUCUCGAGUUGGAGAGAAGUAUGCGGAAUGCGCGGUGUAGCGGUGAAAUGCAUAGAUAUCGCGCAGAACUCCGAUUGCGAAGGCAGCAUGCCGGCUCCACACUGACGCUGAGGCACGAAAGCGUGGGUAUCGAACAGGAUUAGAUACCCCUGUA